CCCAUGUUUUGUCUUGUCCAGUCGUCUUCGAGCAUAUUCUUGAAUCUUACGAUCAUGAUCUUUGAGCAUUUGCUCUACAUUGUUUGAUGGAACAAGUAAUGGACCAGNNAAUGGACCAGAGACAUAAAUCUUGCUUCCCCUUGGCCCGCGACCAUACAGACUUGCUUCUCUGGAUUUUUCGCUAUCUGCCUGAGGAGAAUCUGCAGGCUUACGCA
rnacentral:misc_RNA from 1 species